AUGUUUGGUGGUCCCUGAGAAUGCUCCGACAUCUUCGAAGUAGCGUAGCUGUCGAGCACCAUUGGGGACCAGCGGAUU
rfam:Caenorhabditis briggsae complete genome, chrX